CUAUUUUCAAGGUGGCUUCUUCCACAACAUACAUGAUCUUACAUAUGGGGUCGAUAUUGGAAAGAUACGGUUAAUGGGUGUCUUACAGAGAAUUGCAAUGGCAUACCUAGUGGUGGCACUAUGCGAAAUCUGGCUACGGGAUGGUGGAGAAGGUGGCAUAGGCUCUGGCUAUGCAAUAAUCAAAAAAUACCGAUGCCAGUUUCUUGUGGGUUUAGUCCUCACGGCCACAUACACGGUGAUUUUGUACGGUCUGCCCGUGCCGGACUGGGUAUAUAGUGUCACAUCAUCGGA